rnacentral:rRNA from 1 species
GAUGAACGCUGGCGGCGUGCUUAACACAUGCAAGUCGAACGGAACUACUCCAAUGAGAGUCUUCGGAAAGGAUUUGGUUUAGUUUAGUGGCGGACGGGUGAGUAACGCGUGGGUAACCUGCCCUAUACAGGGGGAUAACAGUUGGAAACGACUGUUAAUACCGCAUAAGCGCACAGGAGCGCAUGCUCCGGUGUGAAAAACUCCGGUGGUAUAGGAUGGACCCGCGUCUGAUUAGCUGGUUGGCGGGGUAACGGCCCACCAAGGCGACGAUCAGUAGCCGGCAUGAGAGGGUGAACGGCCACAUUGGGACUGAGACACGGCCCAAACUCCUACGGGAGGCAGCAGUGGGGAAUAUUGCACAAUGGGGGAAACCCUGAUGCAGCGACGCCGCGUGAGCGAAGAAGUAUCUCGGGAUGUAAAGCUCUAUCAGCAGGGAAGAAAAUGACGGUACCUGACUAAGAAGCCCCGGCUAACUACGUG